rnacentral:rRNA from 1 species
GACGAACGCUGGCGGCGUGCUUAACACAUGCAAGUCGAACGGUAAGGCUCCAGCUUGCUGGGGUACACGAGUGGCGAACGGGUGAGUAACACGUGGGUGACCUGCCCUGCACUUCGGGAUAAGCCUGGAAAACUGGGUCUAAUACCGGAUAGGACCAUGGUGUGGAUACUGUGGUGGAAAGUUUUUUCGGUGUGGGAUGGGCCCGCGGCCUAUCAGCUUGUUGGUGGGGUAAUGGCCUACCAAGGCGGCGACGGGUAGCCGGCCUGAGAGGGUGGACGGCCACAUUGGGACUGAGACACGGCCCAGACUCCUACGGGAGGCAGCAGUGGGGAAUAUUGCACAAUGGGCGGAAGCCUGAUGCAGCGACGCCGCGUGGGGGAUGACGGCCUUCGGGUUGUAAACUCCUUUCACCAUCGACGAAGGGUUUCUGACGGUAGAUGGAGAAGAAGCACCGGCUAACUACGUG